rnacentral:lncRNA from 1 species
CUCUCUCUCCUCCUCUUUCUCCUCCUCUCCCUCUCCUUCCUCUCUUUCCUCCUCUCCCUCUCCUCUCUCUCCUCCCUCUCUUCUCCUCUCCCUCUUCUCCCUCUCUCUCCUCCUCUUUCUCCUCCUCUCCCUCUCCUUCCUCUCUUUCCUCCUCUCCCUCUCCUCUCUCUCUCUCUCCUCCCUCUCUCAUCUCCUCUCCCUCUUCUCCCUCUCUCUCCUCCUCUCCCUCUCCUUCUCUCCCUCUCCUCCCUCUCUCUCCUCCUCUCCCUCUCCUCCUCUCCCUCUCCUCCCCUUUCUCCUCCUCUCCCUCUCCUUCCUCUCUUUCCUCCUCUCCCUCUCCUCUCUCUCCUCCCUCUCUCUUCUCUCCCUCUUCUCCCUCUCUCUCCUCCUCUUUCUCCUCCUCUCCCUCUCCUUCCUCUCUUUCCUCCUCUCCCUCUCCUCUCUCUCUCUCUCCUCCCUCUCUCAUCUCCUCUCCCUCUUCUCCCUCUCUCUCCUCCUCUCCCUCUCCUCCUCUCCAUCUCCUCCCUCUCUCUCCUCCACUCCCUCUCCUCCCUCUCUCUCCUCCACUCCCUCUCCUCCCUCUCUCUCCUCCCUCUCUCUCCUCCACUCCCUCUCCUCCUCUCUCUCUCUCUCCUCCCUCUCUCUCCUCCUCUCCCUCUCCUCCCUCGACCCUGACAGACAGACAGCUAUCUCAGGGGGAGACAACCCUCCCUCCCUCACAUUACUAUUACCAUUAAAACAUUUCCCACUCCCCCCUCACCAUUUUUCUCAUCUCUCGUGGAAUAGCCUGUUGUGACUGACCACUGGAGGAGACUGGGACUACUGCAGCACGACAAACACGCAAACACACACACACGCAAACACAGACACACGCAAACACACUCAAAGACCGGUUUUCCAUCCUUUCCUCUCUUUCCUCAAUGUUCCUGAAAAAUUAGGAAACUGCUCAGGGAUCUGGGAAACCCCUCUCUUGCGGUGGUGAGGAUUUAUUAAUGGCAUUCAUUUGAUUGGACCAUCCUCAUUUUGUACUGAUGAAUCAGUGUUUUAAAAGGAUCUGUACAGGUUUGUGUCAUUAGGGAAUAGAGGCAGUGGACUCAUCUAGCUUCUCUCAAUAGAUGUUCUGAGAAUGAGUAGGCUAGGCUACACAGUGUUACUGAGGUAACCACUUGGGCUGAUUGUCCUGAUGAUAGAACUAACAUUGAUGAUUGUCUUGAUGAUAGAACUAACAUAUUGAUGAUUGUCUUGAUGAUAGAACUAACAUAUUGAUGAUUGUCUUGAUGAUAGAACUAACAUAUUGAGUGUGUCUUGAUGAUAGAACUAACAUAUUGAUGAUUGUCUUGAUGAUAGAACUAACAUUGAUGGUUGUCUUGACGAUAGAACUAACAUAUUGACGGUGGUCUUGACUACUACAGUGUAUCUCUGGAUGCGUAGAGAGAGUUAAAUGGGUGUAGAUUAGAAUGCACAUACACGUCAACAGAGGUAGAGAAGGGAGUCUGGCCUUCAGUCUGGAGCGGUGCCUGUUUUAAACGGGCUCUCCCCUUGACAAAAGUGUCAUUGAUUAGCCAAGUAUUGACCCAGUCCUAUAGAACACCAAUGGCGUCUAGCAAGGUGUUAAAUGUGUCUAUGCAUAAAGAGAAAACAGAUACAUAGCCUUUCAGUGCCAAAGACUCGGUCUGCAUCCCAAAUGGCACCCUAUUCCAUAUUUAGUGCACUACUUUUGACCAGAACCCCGGUCAUAUGUAGUGCACUAUAUAGGGAAAAGGGUGCCAAUAAAGACGCAGCCUCUCUCCACUCACAGGUCAGCCUCAGCUCUAUGGUUACAUGUCUAGUGUAGUAGGAUAGACAUGCAAUGGCAUGGAUCAGCCCUUUCUCCUGCUUUUGCCUUUGUCCCGAAAAUGUUGCAGUUUAUUGUGUGUGAAUGUACUGUAACUAUGCCCUCUAUUGAAUGUGUUAGUCAGUACAGCUUUGUCUUAUAUCCUCUACUCUACUGAACCCAGCCAAACUGAGGUGAGCUCUACUGCGCUGGCCUACUGGAAUUAUGCUGGAAACAUUUGAUGAACUAACGCAGUAUGGUUCAGAUUGGCACGAUAGUGUGAAAAGGCUGUGAGAGAGAGAGAGAGAGAGAGACAGAGAGAGAGAUGGAAAAAGUACCCAAUUAUCAUACCUGAGUAAAAGUAUAGAUACCUUAAUAGAAAGUUACUCAAGUAAAAGUGAAAGUCACCCAGUAAAAUACUACUUGAGUAAAAGUCUUAAAGUAUUUGGUUCUAAAUACACUUAAGUAGUCUUAAAGUAAAUGUAAUUGCUAAAAUAUACUUAAGUAUCAAAAGUAAAAGUAUGAAUCAUUUCAAAUUCCUUAUAUAAAUCAAGAACAGACGGCACUAUUUUCUUGUUUUUAAAAUGUACGGAUAGCCAGGGGUACACAUUAACACUCAGACAUCAUUUACAAACGAUGCAUAUGUGUUUAGUGAGUCAGCCAGAUCUGAGGCAGUAGGGAUGACCAGGGAUGUUCUCUUGAUAAGUGCGUGAAUUGGACCAUUUUCCUGUCCUGCUAAGCACUCAACAUGCAACAAGUACUUUUGGGUGUCAGAGAAAAUGUAUGUAGUAAAAACUACAUUAUUUUCUUUAGGAAUGUAGUGAAGUAAAAGUACCCCAAAAAACUACUUAAGUAGUACUUUAAAUUAUUUUUACUUAAGUACUUUACACCACUGGUCAUUCUGAACGGAAUACGAUUAUUAUUUAGAGUUAGAAUGCUUUACUGGAAACGGCACUGAAAAUGUCUCUGAACUCUGGCUGCUCUGGCGCAGGAUAAAGGCAGUGGUCCGGGCGUUAAGCCACAGAAUAGGAAUGCUGCCUUCUUGUCCUUUUUGUUACUGGACAGAAUAACAAGUGGCUUUACUAGCUUGGUGGCGUUUCUUAGUGAAAACAGUUUCUGGCUUUACUGGCUGAAGUAGCUGGGUUCUCCAGUACUCUCACUGGGCACAGACGUCAAUUUAACGUCUAUUCAACGUAAUUUCAUUGAAAUGACAUGCAAACAGCGUUGAUACAACCAGUGUGGCCACAGUGGGAUGUGUAUACUAUUCUAUGUGCUUUACAGCCAGCUCUACUGACUUGCGUCGUCACGGCAUGCCAUACAUUGUUAGUCGAGUUUGGCAUGACAACGGACACGACCAAGGAGUCAGGCUGAGGCUCAAACACGUCUGCUACCAGCAGGCUAGCUUCAAAAGGUCUUUUCACAUUGCGUGUGGUUAUCCCAAGUCUAUACUUAACCCCAGACGCUCUUAGUCCUGGGCUAGAAACGCUAGAGCAGGGGUUCUCAAAGUGGGGUCUGCAGACCCCUGGGAAGGGGAAAACUGAAAACUAGCUGUUAUUGGCAGAGAGGUUUGGAACUCUCUUUCUUAUUGGUCUAUUAACUAAUUUAUUGCUAGAACAAAACACCAUCCCAUCAAAACAUGCUGAAAUUUUAGGUGGACUUUUCAACAGCUCUUACAGCAUUAUCAUAAUUUUCCCAAUUUCACAGUAUUAUUCCAACCUCAUAGUGUGGAAAUAUAUAAAUAUAAUGUUUGACUGCACUGGGCCUUUAAAACAGCAAAGUUGUACAUGCCUCAUUACAAAAUGUGUAGAAUUGCAGGAAAUGUGCUUGAAAACUGCAACAUUUUCUCUCUGAUGCCAAGAGGCGAGCUUUAAAUUGUUCCUUUCCCUGGCCAGAGACUUGGUUCAUCCAGCCAUGCACUGCUGAAGUCAUGGUAAGACUGGAGUAAAACUGGAGUUGUUCUGUUGAAUUUCCUUUUUUUUCUCUUGCACUAAUUGAACAUGAUUAAUGAAGACUGAGGAACAUAUUUAUUUCAUGAGUCUCUGGUGACUUACGCUGUUAUGUUUCUAUUUCCGUGGAGUAUUUGCCACAAAUAGUAACAUAACAUAGUUUUAAAUUGAAAGGAAGCCAAGUCUGAAUAUCAAAAGAAGCAGGGUGGGAUAUUUAUAAAAGAGAUGAUUUGUAGGCAGCGCUCUGAGAAUCCCUUAGAAGAGAGAGAGAGAGAGACAGAGACAAGGCCCCAGGUGGUUCUGAUGUUUACUGAUGAUUACAUUGUAACCAUAUCUUUCUCUCCCUCUCUCUCCCUUUAUAUGUCAUUCUCUCUCCCUCUCUCUCCAUUUAUCUCUCUCUCUCUCUCUCUCUCUCGGUCAUGGUCUCCCCCUCUCUCUCCCUUCAUAUGUCACUCUCUCUCCCUCUCUCUCCAUUUAUGUCUCUCUCUCUCGGUCUUGGUCUCUCCCUUCAUAUGUCACUCUCUCUCCCUCUCUCUCCAUUUAUGUCUAUCUCUCUCUCUCUCUCUCUCUCUCUCUCUCGGUCUCUCUCCCUUCAUAUGUCACUCUCUCUCCAUUUAUCUCUCUCUCUCUUGGUCUUGGUGUCUCCUCUGUGCAGCGUGUUCUUCUAUUAGAGAGAGAGAGAGAGAGAGAGAGAGAGAGAGAGAGAGAGAGAGAGAGAGAGAGAGAAAGAGAGAGAGAACCCAAUUGUCAUACUUGAGUAAAAGUAUAGAUACCUUAAUAGAGAGAGCGAGAGAGUUGUGCAAUUUCAUUGAGAGAAAUGUACCGCAAAGUACUACGUGCAGAGAAUACAGUCACAAGCAGUUAGGCUGUCAUUCUAACCACACACAGAGACACUGAAACAACACACACACACACACACACACACACACACACACACACACACACACACACACACACACACACACACACACACACACACACACACAUGGACACACACGGACACACACACACGGACACACACAUGCGCACGCACACGGAUAUGCACAGUCCGACACGUAGGUCUCUGAACACCUACGCAAUCCCACAUGCAUGUACUGUGUGUGUUCAGCUGUGUGUGUUCUGCUGUGUGUGUUCUGCUGUGUGUGUUCAGCUGUGUGUGAUCAGCUGUUUGUGUUCAGCUGUGUGCUUGCUUGUGAGGGGAAAAUCUCGUUAUGUAAUCAUAUAUACAGUACGUAGUAGUACUUGAUGUGAUACUUGAAUAGCACUUAGGUCGUGUUCAUUAGGGCACACUGUAGCAUAAGAUUUUACAACGGAAUAUGAAAACUAACGUUUCUCAUUGGAUAAGUUCAGGUACUUCCACACUACUUGGGUCUGUUUUCUUCCGUUCGGUGCCUAAUGAACACGUCCCUGGUAUGAGGUGAUGUGAUGUAAAGAUGGAAUGAUGAUUAUGCUGCAAAAGAGAAGAGAGAAAAAGAGGGACAUUACCUCUACUCCGGGUGAGGGAUGUCUUUAACAAAUAGUGGACAGCCAUGUCUGUCUGCUGAAACCAAUGCUGUUUAUUUGUCACUAGUGACAGAAAAUGUGUCUGUCUGCCCAUUAUGAAUAUUCUAUGGUGAAUACAACUGUAUUUAUAUUUGGAUAUUUAUACUCUAUAUCUGAACGUGUAUAUUUUAAUUGUUGUAGUACCCCUUUCCCGCAGUUAAAUGACCUAGUGGCCUCAUGGGUGGAAUGUUAUUCAUAUUUUUCAUAAUUUCAUAAUUAAUAAACAUUAUUUUUUUAAACCCACCGAAAAUCUGGUGUUUCUAUGUCAAACAGUUUUGUUAUAUUUCACUCUUCUGUGAUGUAUAUGAAGUGUAAUAUUGGGAUUCAAACAUUUCCUAUCUGGCAUCUUCUUUUUUUGUUGUUGCCCAUAACCUUGUGUGUGAG